CUGGGUGUUGUAUGACAAGAAUACUCAAUACAGUCAGAAAGAGAGGGCGUGAACAAAAUUGCUAAUGUUAGUAAGAGCAGAGCGGUUGUUGGAAUUUUAAUUUAAUUGGAUAAUAGUUUGUUUAUGGGUCUUUAUAGUCAAUGUUUAGAUGAUUUAACCUCUGCAAGUAGAUAUUUCAUAUCAUCUAAUAGAUUUUUUUUUACUAUCGUUUAUACAGGCAAAUAUCGAAUGCUGCUGAAACAAUUAGGGAUGUUAAGUAAGAAGCUUGUACAGCAGGCUGCUAUGAUUGGUGUGCAGGCUGGAAAGAAGGUUGAGUUCAAAUUGUUCGAAGGCAUGGUCAAAGCCCCGGUCCAAAAAAAGCUUAAGAAGUCUUUCCUAUCUCAUCCGUGAUGCGUAUGAUGUGUUGCAUUGCCAAUGGACUUGUAUUACUAAAAAUCUUCUGCAUUGUAUCGACUAUAUUUGUUGGCCGUGUGUGUCCACUAUGUUCUAUGCUAGCCAUGUGAGGUCUAUAUAUAUAGACUUGCUAAACUAAGCCUAAACCCAAUCUUUUUUAUCAUUAAUUUCCUAGUGGUAACUGGAUGUA
rnacentral:lncRNA from 1 species